rnacentral:rRNA from 1 species
CAUUAACUGAAUCCAUAGGUUAAUGAGGCGAACCGGGGGAACUGAAACAUCUAAGUACCCCGAGGAAAAGAAAUCAACCGAGAUUCCCCCAGUAGCGGCGAGCGAACGGGGAGCAGCCCAGAGCCUGAAUCAGUGUGUGUGUUAGUGGAAGCGUCUGGAAAGGCGCGCGAUACAGGGUGACAGCCCCGUACACAAAAAUGCACAUACUGUGAGCUCGAUGAGUAGGGCGGGACACGUGGUAUCCUGUCUGAAUAUGGGGGGACCAUCCUCCAAGGCUAAAUACUCCUGACUGACCGAUAGUGAACCAGUACCGUGAGGGAAAGGCGAAAAGAACCCCGGCGAGGGGAGUGAAAAAGAACCUGAAACCGUGUACGUACAAGCAGUGGGAGCACGCUUCGGCGUGUGACUGCGUACCUUUUGUAUAAUGGGUCAGCGACUUAUAUUCUGUAGCAAGGUUAACCGAAUAGGGGAGCCGAAGGGAAACCGAGUCUUAACUGGGCGUUAAGUUGCAGGGUAUAGACCCGAAACCCGGUGAUCUAGCCAUGGGCAGGUUGAAGGUUGGGUAACACUAACUGGAGGACCGAACCGACUAAUGUUGAAAAAUUAGCGGAUGACUUGUGGCUGGGGGUGAAAGGCCAAUCAAACCGGGAGAUAGCUGGUUCUCCCCGAAAGCU